rnacentral:rRNA from 1 species
GCCGCGGUAACACGUAGGGGGCGAGCGUUGUCCGGAAUUACUGGGCGUAAAGCGCACGUAGGCGGACAUUUAAGUCAGGGGUGAAAUCCCAGAGCUCAACUCUGGAACUGCCUUUGAUACUGGGUGUCUUGAGUAUGGAAGAGGUAAGUGGAAUUCCGAGUGUAGAGGUGAAAUUCGUAGAUAUUCGGAGGAACACCAGUGGCGAAGGCGGCUUACUGGUCCAUUACUGACGCUGAGGUGCGAAAGCGUGGGGAGCAAACAG